GUGAGGAAUUUUCCGCAAUGGGCGAAAGCCUGACGGAGCAAUGCCGCGUGAAGGAUGAAGGCCUAUGGGUUGUAAACUUCUUUUCUCAGAAAAGAAUUAUGACGGUAUCUGAGGAAUAAGCAUCGGCUAACUCUGUGCCAGCAGCCGCGGUAAGACAGAGGAUGCAAGCGUUAUCCGGAAUGAUUGGGCGUAAAGCGUCUGUAGGUUGUUUAAAAAGUAUUCUGUCAAAGAUUAGGGCUUAACCCUAGAUAGGCAGAAUAAACUUUUAAGCUAGAGUUUGGUAGAGGCAGAGGGAAUUCCCGGUGGAGCGGUGAAAUGCGUAGAUAUCGGGAGGAACACCAAAGGCGAAGGCACUCCGCUGGGCCAAUACUAACACUGAGAGACGAAAGCGAGGGGAGCAAAUGGGAUUAGAAACCCCGGUAGUCC
rnacentral:rRNA from 1 species